rnacentral:rRNA from 1 species
UGAAUACGAGACGCUAAGGCGUCGAAGUAGUGUAUGUCAUACUUCCAAGAAAAGCUUGCACUGUCAUAGAUAAAAAACGCCUGUACCAUAACCGACACAGGUGGGUAGGUAGAGUAUACUAAGGGGCGCGAGAUAACUCUCUCUAAGGAACUCGGCAAAAUAACUCCGUAACUUCGGGAGAAGGAGUGCCUUAUUCGUAAGGUUGCAAUAACAAGAUCCAAGCAACUGUUUAUCAAAAACACAGGUCUCCGCUAAGUCGUAAGACGAUGUAUGGGGGCUGACGCCUGCCCAGUGCCAGAAGGUUAAAGAAGUUGGUUAGCAAUUGCGAAGCUGAUAACUGAAGCCCUGGUGAACGGCGGCCGUAACAAUAACGGUCCUAAGGUAGCGAAAUUCCUUGUCGGGUAAGUUCCGACCCGCACGAAAGGCGUAAUGAUUUGGAUACUGUCUCGGAGAGGGGCUCGGUGAAAUAGACUUGUCUGUGAAGAUGCGGACUACCUGCACCAGGACAGAAAGACCCUAUGAAGCUUUACUGUAACUUGAAAUUGAAAUUGGACUUUAUUCGCGCAGCAUAGGUGGGAGGCGUUGAUUAUAAUCUUGCGGGAUUAUUGGAGCCAUCAGUGAGAUACCACUCUUGUAAUGUUAGAUUUCUAACUUUGAAUCAUUAUCUGGUCAAAGAACAGUUUCAGGCGGGCAGUUUGACUAGGGCGGUCGCCUCCUAAACGGUAACGGAGGCGUACAAAGGUUUCCUCUGAACGGUUAGAAAUCGUAUCUAGAGUGUAAAGGCAUAAGGAAGCUUGACUGUGAGACCUACAAGUCGAGCAGGGACGAAAGUCGGUCUUAGUGAUCUGACGGUACUGAGUGGAAAGGCCGUCACUCAACGGAUAAAAGUUACUCUAGGAUAACAGGCUGAUCUCCCCCAAGAGUUCACAUCGACGGGGAGGUUUGGCACCUGAUGUCGGCUCAUCGCAUCCUGGGGCGGUAGUACGUCCCAAGGGUUGGGCUGUUCGCCCAUGAAAGCGGUACGCGAGCUGGGUUCAGAACGUCGUGAGACAGUUCGGUCCAUAUCCGGUGUAGGCGUUAGAAUAUUGAGAGGAGCCUUCUUUAGUACGAGAGGACCGAGAAGGACAUACCUCUGGUGUACCAGUUAUCGUGCCAACGGUAAACGCUGGGUAGCUAUGUAUGGAGUGGAUAACCGCUGAAAGCAUCUAAGUGGGAAGCCCACCUCAAGAUAAGUAUUCUCAC